UGGAGCAGCAGUCCCGUGUUGGGGUGCACUUUGGAUCCAACAAUCUCCCAGAGAAGAAGGAGCACCAAAUGAAGUCCAAAUCUGUGUCAAAAAAUGACCUUUAAAUCUAUUGGACACUGGAUAUCAGGAGAGAAUGAUCACUAUCAUGCACUGUGGCUGUCACUGCUGCUCCCAGCUCAACACCUGGAGGAGCUUCUAACAACAACGGAGCAGGUCAGUGGGCUGUCUGCUGGGGGAGUCCUGCUGGUCCAGCUGUCCACAGCGUGUACCCUUUAUCUGCCUUGUUGUGGUUUUAAAUGUUGUUUUUGUUGUUGUUGUUUUGACAGCCGGCUAUGCUUUAGAUAACUUACUGUAAACAAUAAAACACCUUAAAAAUAGAUAUAUUUAAUGAUGUAAGGUCAUUCUUUAAAUCACACUGUGAUUCUGAUGUAUAUUAUUCAUUCUGGUAUUAACUUUCAUACAGCAAGAUAAUGCAUAUGAAAACGUACACUGAAAACUGGCACCAAAUUCUACAAUUCUUAAACUUGUUAACUUAUUCUUUGAUCAGAUAUUGCCCAGUUUAAAUCCUCAUUUUGUUAAAGGGGCACUCCAUCAAUUUUGCACAUGAAAGUCAGCGUACGCAUCUUGAGGGAGCACCACUCAGCCUGUGAAAGCCGCUGUAUAAUGUCCUGUGUGGAUUUUUCCCUAUACCCAACUAACUAAGUGUUAAACUUAAACCAUCAUAAAAAUGUGUUCAACUGUAAAACACCCUGCCUCAGGCACAGAACUAUAACUGUAUCACAGGAAUUCCAAGGUUGAUCUUUUA